GGCAAGAUGGCCGAGCGGUCUAAGGCGCCGUCUUCAGGAUGCGAAUCUAGGUUCCACUCCUCUGGCGGUCCGAAAGGGCGUGGGUUCGAAUCCCACUCUUGUCA